UACGUAGGGGGCAAGCGUUGUCCGGAAUUAUUGGGCGUAAAGAGCGCGUGGGCGGUCCGAUAAGUCGGCUGUGAAAGUCAGGGGCUCAACCCUUGAAAGCCGGCCGAUACUGUCGGACUAGAGUCCGGAAGAGGCAAGUGGAAUUCCUGGUGUAGCGGUGAAAUGCGCAGAUAUCAGGAAGAACACCCGUGGCGAAGGCGGCUCUCUGGGACGUGACUGACGCUGAGACGCGAAAGCGUGGGGAGCGAACAGG
rnacentral:rRNA from 1 species